GCGGGGCGGAGGUUCCGCUCUGGCGCCCAACCGCCCCCGCGCGGGGGCUGGAGGCGGCCAUAGCGGUGUGCGGCGAGGGCGGGAGGGCUCCUGCCGCCCCCUCCUCCCGGAGGUGGGGAUGGCAGCGCCUUCUUCCGAGAGGGGCUCACAGGCUCUCCGGGAAGGCGCCUGAGGGAGCACCCUCCUUCUGCAACUUCUUCGCUCCAGGGCGGGACGGGCUUUUCGCCGCGCUAGGCCGCAGCCGGCGGUGCGAGUGAGGACCCAGGGCCGAGGCCUUGUCCUUGUCCGGUCGAACAUGACCAACCCGCUCGACUGGGAGUGUCUGAAGCUGCUGCCGCUGGAAGCGCUGCGUGUGAGUGAGACACCAAUGACAAACUUGAAUGUGAACAAUGAAAAGAAUUUUGUGAGAAGAAGUCUAGAGAGGCGUCGAUUUGAUCAGUCCUUGGUUUAUUUAACCCGAAAAUUCAUGGAUCUUGUCAAAGCAGCUCCAGAUGGUGUCCUUGAUUUAAAUGAAGUAGCAACAAUGCUUGGAGUACGAAAGCGAAGAGUGUAUGACAUCACCAAUGUGUUGGAGGGAAUCGACUUAAUUCGGAAAAGAUCCAAGAAUGUUAUCCAGUGGAUAGGUUCUAAUCUUGACCAUGUUGUUAGAAAACCACCAGAGCAAGAAAGCCUUGAAGAUGAACUUUCUGAAUUGUCAUCCAUGGAAGAAGCUCUGGAUGAAUUAAUCAAGGAAUGUGCUCGUCAGUUAUUUGAACUGACAGAUGACAAAGAAACUGCAAAACUAGCUUAUGUGACAUACCAAGAUAUCCGUAGCAUUCAAACAUUUCAGGAACAGAUUGUGAUUGCAAUCAAAGCUCCAGAGGAAACCAUACUGGAAAUACCAAUUCCUAAAGAGGAUUGCAUAGAAGUACACGUGAAGAGCACAAAAGGACCCAUUGAUGUGUAUCUAUGUGAGGUGGAACAAGGGAAGUCAGGUGCCAAAACUUGUGAAGAUAUGGAUACUGUCACUUCUGAAACUGAGCCAUCAGUUCCUCCCAUGGAAGUGAGAUCUCCGGGGGAAGAGAAAAUCAAUCCACUUGAGAUGGCAGAUUGAUUACAACUCAGAAAUCUUAUACAGAAUGUAAAUAUCUGUGUUACAGAGCUUUUCUAGAGCUGCUUGGAUUUGCAAACUUAAUAACAUGAAAUGUUGCCAAGUGUUGUUUUACAUUUAAAACAGCAGUGGCUUGGUUAAGUGCUUUCACAGCAUCACAGAAUGGUUUUGGUUCGAAGAAAUCUUAAACAUCAUCUAGUUCCAACCCCCCUGCAGUGGGUAGGAAUACCUUCCCACCUCCUUCACAAGAUUGCUUAUCUUUCCAAUUCAGAAGAUAACACAGAAUUGCUCUUAGGAGCUUUGUUUUCAUAACCAGAAAAUCACAGAAUCUGAAGGGUUGGAAGCGACUUCUGGAGAUCGUGUAGUCCGACUGCUCUGCCAGCGCAGGGGUUCACCUAGAGUAGGUUGCCCAGGAAGCCGUCCAGGGUCCAUUGCUGGACUCAGGGUCAUCCUUUUCUCCACCAGGACUCUCAGGUCUUUUUCCACAGAGCUGCUUUCAAGCAGGUCAGCCCCCAGCCUGUACUGGUGCAUGGGGUUUCUCCCUAGGUGCAGUACCCUACCCUUUCUGCCCAGUUUUCCAGCCUGUCCAGGUCAUGCUGGAUGGCAGAACCAUGGGCUGGUGUCAGCCACCCCACCCAAUUUUGUAUCAUCAGUAAAUUUGUUGAUCAUAAUUGCAUGUAAUGUUCAGAGCUUUGGGGUAAUGAUAUCUUUAGCUGAUGAAAUAGUUUUAAUUGACAGAAAUGAAAAAUUGAAAAUAUGUUUGUUUAUCCUAUAUCCAGGGAUAAAAUGAAGCAGUUUGCUCACUUUCCCAGUGACCCCCAUCCCAGCUGAGAAGAAUCAGGAAGAGAAGUCCCAUUGGUUGAAAUACAUCUGGAUUGAAUGAAAUGACAAAGUAGUAGUGGGAGCAGCAGGCCCAGAGGGAAGAGCCCUGGGAAAUGCAACUCCUCACCCUCAGCACAGCUCUCCCUCUGUCAUGAGCAUGAGAAGUGGUGUGGGAUACACUUGUCAGAUAGCUGGGGGCAGAUACACUGAUGUAAGCUUUCACUUGACUUGGGGCUGCUACUGUUCUGCCCUCCAUGGCUGACCUAUGAUUCUGUCCCAGUGAAACCUGGAUAAACUAUUUCUCAAACCUCCCAUGAUCCUUAAGAGAAUGUAUAUAAUAAAGAAAUGCACUUUUUAGUUCUGAGGCUGGGCUACCACUAAGCAGGAUUGUCAAGUACAAAUGUAACAAAGAACUGGUGUAUUGGAAACCUUCACUACAAGGAACAAGAUGUAUAUAUACAUGAGAGGUAUGCCUUACCCUGUAUAGAUGCUGUUUGCAUUGUUUGCAGCCAGCUCUGCAUGAGCUAUGGUGUCAAUACUGACAUUAAAUAAUCGGGCUUUUUGUAAAUAUGUGUAUCAUGUCUACGUAGUUAUUUAUGUAGAUUCACUGAGAUGGUUUGCAUUUCUGCCUUUGUACAGCAAUUAAAUAAAAUAAGCAUAUAAAACUAUUAAAGCUUUUAAAA